rnacentral:rRNA from 1 species
UACGGAGGGGGCUAGCGUUGUUCGGCAUUACUGGGCGUAAAGCGCGCGUAGGCGGACCUGCAAGUCGGUGGUGACAGCCCGAGGCUCAACCUCGGAACUGCCUUCGAUACUGAGGGUCUCGAGUCCGUUAGAGGUGAGUGGAAUUCCUAGUGUAGAGGUGAAAUUCGUAGAUAUUAGGAAGAACACCAGUGGCGAAGGCGGCUCACUGGCCAGGUACUGACGCUGAGGUGCGAAAGCGUGGGGAGCAAACAGG